rnacentral:rRNA from 1 species
GAUCUGGUUCAGAUUGAACGCUGGCGGCAGGCUUAACACAUGCAAGUCGAGCGGGGAAAUGUAGCUUGCUACAUUACCUAGCGGCGGACGGGUGAGUAAUGCUUAGGAAUCUGCCUAUUAGUGGGGGACAACAUUUCGAAAGGAAUGCUAAUACCGCAUACGCCCUACGGGGGAAAGCAGGGGAUCUUCGGACCUUGCGCUAAUAGAUGAGCCUAAGUCGGAUUAGCUAGUUGGUGGGGUAAAGGCCUACCAAGGCGACGAUCUGUAGCGGGUCUGAGAGGAUGAUCCGCCACACUGGGACUGAGACACGGCCCAGACUCCUACGGGAGGCAGCAGUGGGGAAUAUUGGACAAUGGGGGGAACCCUGAUCCAGCCAUGCCGCGUGUGUGAAAAGAAGGCCUUUUGGUUGUAAAGCACUUUAAGCGAGGAGGAGGCUACCUAGAUUAAUACUCUGGGAUAGUGGACGUUACUCGCAGAAUAAGCACCGGCUAACUCUGUGCCAGCCGCCGC